rnacentral:lncRNA from 1 species
AUGGUUAACAUUUUUAAGAAUAGUUGAAAAGAUUUUAAUUGGGAAUAUUGGUUUAAAAUUUAAACAAGAAUGUGUCCCCAGUACACGAAUGCCCCACUCGCACUAUCAUUUUCUAUGUUCAGUGGACCGUCAAAUUGGGGUAAACCCUCUAAUUUGGCAUUAAAAAUUAAAAAGAUCAUAUCAUAGGGAACAUGUAUACUAAGUUUGAAGUCGAUUGGACUUCAACUUCAUCAAAAACUACCUUGACCAAAAACUUUAAACUGAAGCGGGAC